AAUGGAAUUGAUGAGUCAGAUGGUAAUCUGUGUUUAACUUUCUGAGGAAUUGCCAAACUGUUUACUACAGUAGUUGAACCAUUUUACAUUCCCACUAAUAAU
rnacentral:pre_miRNA from 1 species